UACAGAGACUGCAAGCGUUAUUCGGAUUCACUGGGCGUAAAGGGUGCGCAGGCGGCCGUGUGUGUGAGGCGUGAAAGCCCGGGGCUUAACCCCGGAAUUGCACCUCAAACUACACGGCUAGAGCAUUGGAGAGGGUAGCAGAAUUCACGGUGUAGCAGUGAAAUGCGUAGAUAUCGUGAGGAAUACCAGAGGCGAAGGCGGCUACCUGGACAAUUGCUGACGCUGAGCAGCGAAAGCGUGGGUAGCAAACAGG
rnacentral:rRNA from 1 species